rnacentral:piRNA from 1 species
CACUGACCAGACCUGCCACUCAAGGGGAAGC